rnacentral:hammerhead_ribozyme from 1 species
AUCUAGUUGACGAGUCCCAAGUAGAACGAAACCCACUUCUUGGAU